GACGAACGCUGGCGGCGUGCCUAAUACAUGCAAGUAGAACGCUGAAGGAGGAGCUUGCUUCUCUGGAUGAGUUGCGAACGGGUGAGUAACGCGUAGGUAACCUGCCUGGUAGCGGGGGAUAACUAUUGGAAACGAUAGCUAAUACCGCAUAAGAGUAGAUGUUGCAUGACAUUUGCUUAAAAGGUGCAAUUGCAUCACUACCAGAUGGACCUGCGUUGUAUUAGCUAGUUGGUGGGGUAACGGCUCACCAAGGCGACGAUACAUAGCCGACCUGAGAGGGUGAUCGGCCACACUGGGACUGAGACACGGCCCAGACUCCUACGGGAGGCAGCAGUAGGGAAUCUUCGGCAAUGGACGGAAGUCUGACCGAGCAAUGCCGCGUGAGUGAAGAAGGUUUUCGGAUCGUAAAGCUCUGUUGUAAGAGAAGAACGAGUGUGAGAGUGGAAAGUUCACACUGUGACGGUAUCUUACCAGAAAGGGACGGCUAACUACGUG
rnacentral:rRNA from 1 species